CUCAUGCAUUUUUAAUCCAUCCAUCCGUUUUCUACCGCACCUGUUCAAGAAGUUGCGUUAAUAGUAAAAAGUUAUUUAUUUAUUAUUGGUUAGUGUGGGGCUUGCCUCCUGGGGGUUCUUCAGACCCCCAAGCACCGACAUGAGAGCCUGUUUCAGGGUUACAAUAUUGUUUUAUUUUUCAAUAAGUCUCUCAGUUGCUUUCCAGCAAUAGUAUUCCCAGCCCCAAGCCAGUCUCUCCUCCUGGCUGCUGCUUAUAACAGCGCGACAGGUGAUUAGAUAACAAGGCCCAGGUGGGCCAUCUACGCACCUGUCGCUGCAGGCCACGCCCCCUCCACAGUUAGCUUCAGAAUAACUAUGUUAUUACAAAGAAUAAGAGACCUAUUAUACUCUAGAAAUGUUGGUCUUACUUAAAAAUGCACGUGUUUAGUUGUGUUCAGUGUUAAAAAAAAUAUUUUAUAUGGCUGUUACGGAAAUAUAUUUUAAAAUAUUUGGCUUUUUGGCUCUCUCAGCCAAAAAGGUUCCCGACCCCUGCAAUAAUCCAUCAAUAUCAUCAUUCAAUGUUUAUUUACUUAGCCCCAAAUCCCAAAUGUCUCAAAGGACUGCACAAAUCAUUACGACUACAACAUCCUCGGAAGAACCCACAAAAGGGCAAGUAAAACUCACACCCAGUGGGCAGGGAGAAUUCACAUCCAGUGGGACGCCAGUGACAAUGCUGACUAUGAGAAACCUUGGAGAGGACCUCAGAUGUGGGCAACCCCACCCCCCCCUCUAGGGGACCGAAAGCAAUGGAUGUCGAGCGGGUCUAACAUGAUACUGUGAAAGUUCAAUCCAUAGUGGCUCCAACACAGCCGCGAGAGUUCAGUUCAAGCGGAUCCAAGACAGCAGCGAGAGUCCCGUCCACAGGAGACCAUCUCAAGCGGAGGCGGAUCAGCAGCGUAGAGAUGUCCCCAACCGAUACAGGCGAGCGGUCCAUCCUGGGUCCCGACGAGCGGGUCCAUCCUGGGUCUCGACUCUGGACAGCCAGUACUUCAUCCAUGGUCAUCGGACCGGACCCCCUCCACAAGGGAGGGGGGGACAUAGGAGAAAGAAAAUAAGCGGCAGAUCAACUGGUCUAAAAAGGAGGUCUAUUUAAAGGCUAGAGUAUACAGAUGAGUUUUAAGGUGAGACUUAAAUGCUUCUACUGAGGUGGCAUCUCGAACUGUUACCGGGAGGGCAUUCCAGAGUACUGGAGCCCGAACGGAAAACGCUCUAUAGCCCGCAGACUUUUUUUGGGCUCUAGGAAUCACUAAUAAGCCGGAGUCUUUUGACUCAUUGGCAUGAUUUGAGUCCAUUGUCAAAACAAUUAUUAAAUAAAUAAUAUAGAUAGGCUCCAACAGCCACUAACACAAGAGUUGAGUUGUUGUUUUUUUUCUAGCCUGAUUAUUCUUGGUCAUUUUCAGGCUGACUGCUGUGCGUUACCCGAAAUUGUCUGAAUAUCACACCCUGCUGAAGGAGCGACCCAGCGUCCGAGCCAGCUGGCCUCCUCACUGGCAGGAGGACCCCACUGGAGAAGACACACUCAAAGACCUCUGAGGUUAUCGCCGUCCAAACCAGGGAAAUGAAGGCAAUAGUUCCAACAGGAUGUGGAUGCAAUCAAAGAGAACGGCAUUAAAUGAAGUGAAAAAUAAAGGUGUGUACAAUCCCAAAA